CAGAAAAUAGUUUAUAAAAAAUAUUAAUUUUGGAGAUUAAUGAAAAGAUUUAUUUCUUUUUUCUGA
rnacentral:tRNA from 1 species